rnacentral:rRNA from 1 species
GAGUUUGAUCGUGGCUCAGGACGAACGCUGGCGGCGUGCUUAACACAUGCAAGUGGAGCGACGAACCAGGGCUUGCCCUGGGGCAGAGCCGCGAACGGGGUAAGUAACACGUGGGUAACGUGCCCCGAUGACUGGGACAACCCGGGGAAACCCGGGCUAAUACCGGAUAUGCCCCCCGACAUCUGUCGGGUGUGUAAAGGAAGCUUCGGCCUCCGCAUCGGGAUCGGCCCGCGGCGCAUUAGCUUGUUGGUGAGGUAACGGCUCACCAAGGCUGCGAUGCGUAGCUGGUCUGAGAGGACGAUCAGCCACACUGGGACUGAGACACGGCCCAGACUCCUACGGGAGGCAGCAGUGGGGGAUCUUGCACAAUGCGCGAAAGCGUGAUGCAGCAACGCCGCGUGCGGGAAGACGGCCUCGG